ACGUGUAUGCGGCAAAUUCAUUACAACUGCUGUGCCUAUAGCACUAAAUGGGUUACAGAGUAUAGAUCUAUAAUUUAAAUGUCGGGAGUGCAAGCGAAAUUUUGCACUGUGGUCAAAGGAAAAGGAAUACAUGUAUCUACCGUUUAGCAUCCCUGAUCUCCCCAAAAACUAUGAACAUUGUGCAAUAAUUGGAUACAUAACUUUAACCUUGGAAAUAAAUCUUUUGUUUUUGAACGGCAUUUUGAGAAAGAUUCUUUUAAAGAGGAUAUCAGGCUAAUCCAUUUUCUUUUGGAAACCAAUGAAAACUCAUAUGCAUAACUUAUUGACCAACCAGGACUAUCAGCAUCUAAGGAAACAGCUCAAUGAAGAUAUGAAUAAUGACAAAAAUAUCCCACUCUCAAUCCAUAUUGAAGAAUAAAUUAACUUUGUGCAACAUAUACAGAUAGAAUACGCCGGUUUCGAGAUACGUCCGAGUUAUUUCCCUUUGGAGAACUCUCGUACAUAGUAAGGCGCAAAAGAAUUUGUUUACAAGCGGGAGUGGGACAGAUAUUCAUCACAGCUCAGAUAUGAUCAGCUGCUUUCACUGAGAGGCAAUUGCCCGGUAUACGUCAUAAGCAGAUGGGAUUGUGGGAAAUAUCUUAAAGAGCGAUAACUUUAUCUUGCAAAAUGGCAGCCUCCAGCAGAUGAUGUGUAGCUAUAUUUAAUAGUCGAUUUCUACACAACAGAUCACAAUCAAAUGGAAAUAACCAGUGGACUUAAUUACUAAAUAUUUAGUAUUGGAAAUGUGAAAAUAUUUUUUUAUACCCUACGUUCCCUUUAAGUGAAUUCUUUGUGAAAAAUGUGAUGUUGUGAAACUAAGAUGAUGCGUUAUGUUACAGUAAUUGGCUUUAGUCUUCAGUGACUUUGUCAUCAUGCAUUGACUUUUUAUAGACUACAAAUUUAAUGUUUAUAAUGAGUAUCAUAUGUUAUUUACACUAACAUGAUUAAUAAACAUAUAGAAACUU